UACGGGGGGGGCAAGCGUUGUUCGGAAUUACUGGGCGUAAAGGGCUCGUAGGCGGCCAACUAAGUCAGACGUGAAAUCCCCAGGCUCAACCUGGGAACUGCGUCUGAUACUGGAUGGCUUGAAUCCGGGAGAGGGAUGCAGAAUUCCAGGUGUAGCGGUGAAAUGCGUAGAUAUCUGGAGGAACACCUGCGGCGAAGGCGACUUCCUGGCCUGUUCUUGACGCUGAGGCGCGAAAGCUGGGGGAGCAAACGGG
rnacentral:rRNA from 1 species